CAUCAUUUCUCAUUUUAACCCAUCUCAUUCUUUCUACAAUCCUGCAAUAUAUAUACUGCUAUCAUCAUCCUCUUCGUAUAGAGAAGAGGACACUGAGGUUCUCAGAAACUAAGCAAUUUGCCCAAGACUCAUUUUCUGUGGUGGCCCUGGGAUUUGAACCCAGGUUGUCUGAAACCAAAGUCUGGCAUCUUAUCACAAAACCAUGCAAUCUCCCACUUGAAAUUGAUCUGGAAAUAAACAUGGGAGAGGAAAGCAUUCAAAUGGAAGGAACUAUUUUUCAAAGAUAUAAUGAUAUUUUCAGUUUGGGGGGAGAAGCAAGAGGUUUGACAAAAGGUGAGGUGCAGAACUUAGAAGUGAGAGGAGUUCCCAUUGUGGCAAAAAGGAAACGAAUCCAACUAGGAACCAUGAGGUUGAGGGUUCGAUCCCUGGCCUCACUCAGUGGGUUAAGAAUCCGGCGUUGCUGUGAGCUGUGGUGUAGGCCAGCAGCUGUAGCUCCUAUUCGACCCCUAACCUGGCAACCUCCAUUUGCCAUGGUGUGGCCCUAAAAGGCAAAAAAAAAAAAUUAAUUUGAAAAAUUUAAAAAAAGAAGUGAGGGUUUUAUUCUAUGUGAAAUGGGGAAUGAAAGAGGGUUGUGAGCAAAGACAUGGUCAAAGCUUCAUUUGAGCAAGAAAUUUUCUGUUCAGGAAAUGUGGAAUGAGAAAGGGAGAUGCUGGAGGUGGACAGAUAUAGAGAAAGGGGAGACAGAAACCCCUGAAUGCUGGCAAGGUUGUUUGUAAGCAGGGUGAGGACAGGGCAAGUGGAAGGAAAUAGAAUUGCCUUUUUGGAGGAGGGGAGGAAAGAUAUGCUCAUUGCAUUGACUCGGGCUUUGAAUUUGUGAUAUUGGGACCAUGGGAUGAAGGCGAAGCUGGAUGCAGAGAGAACGCAGGCUCAGGUCCAGGUCGUAAAAACAGAAAUUUGGGCCCCGGGAAGGGUUCUGUCUAGAAGUCUAGGGAACCUCACUUAGAGGGUUCAUUGGACAUUGGAGUUUGGAAGGUGUGGAUUUGACAUUACUGAAGAAAAGCCAUCAAGGCUGAGAAGUCAGAAAGUAUACAUUAAAAGAGAGGGUAAAGGAAGAUGACUUUUCAGUCAUAUUGUACAUCAUAUUAUUGAAUAAGAAAUGGGCCAUCAUGGCCACAGGCUAUGAAAAGAGUAUGUGAACUUUCAGUUUAGGGUAAGAAUUAAUGUUUAAGGUUGAAUAAAAUGUUUCAAGAGAAGAGUAAGAUUAACACAGUGAUUUAUCUCAGAAUCUUCCAGAAGCUCAGUAGCCCAUCUACCUGGGAGCACAGCCCUGACCUCAUGGCCAGAGAUGAACUUGGGGGAGCCAAUAGUCUCUGAUGUUUGUUGGCUACUCGGCACAUACAUUGUUCUGUUAAACCAUCAUAAUCUGCUCUUUAGUUCUACCUUGUUUAAACUGUGGAUUACUACUUUUAUUCUAAUGACAAUAUAAUUAUAGGAUUCAUUUUUGCUAUGUACAGUUUAAAAUCCCAAGGAGUUAGAGGCAGAUUAUGCUGGAGGAAGCAAUUCCUUAAAAUUUAAAGUGUGGCAAUACCUCCAACCCCUCCCUGCUCCUCCAAUACAUACAAAUUUGUGUGUGUGUGUGUGUGUGUGAGCAACCCUACCGUCUUUGAUUUUUUUUCUGGGAAUUAUUUAGUAGUUUGGGUGUUUCCCUAGACACAAGUGGGAAUAUCAAAGCCAGGACUGAAAAGAAAUUUCUGUUGCAGAAAUUUUCAACUUAGUUUCUUUUACCAAGUAGCAGGCUGGUGGUCAGUUGUCUUUUUCUGAUUAUUCAUAAAAAUUCUGCAUUUCAAAUUAUAUUCUCAUUCUGUAGCAGUUAUUAAUAAGGCCCCUCUUUAGCACAUCAGUUAAAAACCAUUUGUGAUAUAAUUCUUGUUAUAGCAUAAAAUUCUUAUUAGACCUUAGAAAUAAGAAUCAGGUUGUGUCAUUUGUCUUUCUUUCUUUCUUUCUUCCUUCCUACCGUCCCUUCCUUCCUUCCUUCCUUCUUUUUUGGCUUUUUUUUUUUAGGGCCACACCCAUGGCAUAUGGAGGUUCCCAAGUUAGGGUCAAACCAGAGCUACAGCUGCCACCCUACACCACAGCCACAGCAACACCAGAUCCAAGACAUGUCUACAAGCUACAACACAGCUCACAGCAACACUGGAUCCUUAACCCACUGAGUGGGGCAAGGGGUUGAAACUGUGUCCUCAUGGAUGCUAGUCAGAUAUGUUUCUGCUGAGCCACAAUGGGGACUCUGUCAUUUUCCUUGUUAAAGAUUCCUCUCCCCUAACUUUCCAGAAAACAAUUGUAACUUUACUUAAAUUUUUCUUCAUUUUGUAAAGUUUUAAUGCAAUAUCGCUGAUUUACAAUGUUGUGGUAAUUUCUGCUAUACAAUAAAGUGAUUCAGUUACACAGUAUGUAUGCAGUCCAUUCUCUUUCAGAUUCUUUUUUCCAUGUAGAUAAUUACCGAAUAUUGGGUGGAGUUCUCUGUACUAUACAGCAGGUCCCCACUGACUGAUCUAAAUUUCAUUUUGACGAAGGUAUUACAUUCACACAGUACAGAAAUUAUAAAUGCAUGGCUGAUGAAUUCUUGCAUUAAUAUAUAUCUCUGUGGAACAAAUCAAGUUAUAGAACUUUUCCAGCACCCAGAAGUCUCCCUCCCUCAUGCCUCCUCACUGUCAAUAUCACUCCUUCAAAGUGUCCUCUAUUCUGGCUGCAGCGACAUUGGUCAGGGAUGCAUGGGUUUGAAGUGCAAUUCUUACAUAUAAAUAAGUGCUGAAAUGUGUUUAUUGGCAUGUGCUAGCACACUAGGAAGUACUCUUGACUUCUUUCCAGAGGUCGCGUGUAUAAGAGGAACUCUUUCUGUUUGAGUGACUAAUCCUUGGGCUUUCACAAUCAGAAGUGGCACACUCUAAUUAUACCAAGGGUGAGUAAUAACAAGAGUGGAAAUUACACUAAGGGUGAAUGACUUUAUGGGUCUCCGCCCUCUAAAGGAGGUCAUAGGUUUUCACUCUUUUCACAGAAUCAAAUCUAUCCUAAACUUUCCUCUCCUCUCACCAUCCCCUGCCCCCAAGGGUUCUAUGUUAUCUGAAUGAGAUUUCUUUAUAACUGUAUUAAUCAAUUUAUAUUAUAUUAUAUAACACCUUAUAAUACUUUACUUUCUCCUAAAAAGCCUUAUGUCCAACUCCAGAGGCUGUCAGAGUUAGGACAGUUUCCAGUACGUAAGAAUACAGAAUUUGGUGGCUCGGUGGAUUAAGGAUCUGGCUUUGUUGCUGCUGUGGCUCAGGUCACUGCUGUGGUGUGGGUUUGAUCCCUGACCUGGGAAUUUCUGCAUGCAGCAGGCAUGGUCAAAAAAGAAAAAGAAUACAAAAUUUGAUAAAUGAGCAGGCAGGAGUUCCCAUCAUGGCUCAGUGGAAACAAAUCAGACUAGCAUCCAUGGGGAUGCAGCUCACUCAUGGGUUAAGGAGCCAGCAUUGCUGUGAGCUAUGAUGUAGGUUGCAGAUAAGGCUCUGAUUCCGCAUUGCUGUGGCUGUGGUGUAGGCCUGUAGCUGCAACUCCAAUUCAACCCCUAGCCUGGGAACCUCCAUGUGCCAUGGGUGUGGCCUAAAAAGACAAAAAAAAAAAAAAAAAAGGAGCAGGCAAAAUCACCCCUGUUGUUGAAUGAUUCAGAAAACCUGAAAACAACCCAGAACAGUCUUGUUUUCUUUCUGCUCUAUUGGGUUGUUCUAUGAUUGUUCUCUAAGUCCAAACUUCCCCCUGUUUAGAUACCAAAAUUAGAAGCCUGAAGCUCAUUUCUUCAACAAAAUCUGAUGAAUGGUAUGAUACUUGGUGAUCAUAUAUUAAGGAGGCAAGAUUUGGUGUGGCCCAGAUUGCUGCAGAGAUAAUUCUCCAGACUAAACCAACAUUCAAGAAAGACUAGCAGUAGUUAAGUUAGAAAUAGAGACCAAAAUAGAACUCUUUGGUUAUUAAUUUCAAAAAUUCUUCCCUGGUUACUGAGAGUUUGCUUUUUCCAAUUACUAUAGGAGCUGGUAGUUCCAUCAAGGGAAGAUGCUUUAAGAUGCACUGGAUUAAAGAGAUUCCUGUAUUCAUUAAUCAAAAUCAAGAGAAUCUUGUUUCCUACACAUAAUUCCUUUCUGUGAAAAGACAAUAACAACGUGACUGAAUUUCCCAGGCGAAUUUUCUUACACCUUUAAUGAGGAAAAAAAUGUGUGUUUGCAUGAGUAUACAAACACACAUAAUAAUGUUUGUGAGAAGAACAGUAUACUCUACCCUUAAAAUAGAACUAAAUUGAGUUGGCAAAAGAAUUGUGCUAAAAUGAAGGGUUUGUCAGAAUUACAAUUAUAGUCCUAGUGACAAGAUAUUAAGAAACUCUUUAAUUACCCAGGUUGACUGAAGGAGAGAUUUUUAAGAUACACUCGAUCUCAUGUCAUCAACAAGAAUGUAAUGUUUUGUUAUGAUAAUUUUUUAAUUCAGUAUACCUAGUAAAAUGUAAACAAAUGCAAAUAUUUAAAAGAAAAAGUGAGUCUUUUUUGCUUUUCACUCCCAUCUAUUCCCUCAGCCCCAAUCCCUGGAUAAUAAGCAUGGCUUAUAGUAUCUUCCAGGUAUUUUUAAUUCAACUACAGAAUGGAUGGGUGGAUGGAUGGAUGGCUAUAGACUGAAAUACAUACUUAUUUAUUUCUAAAUCACCUACCUUAUUGAGGAUUCAGUGAUGAACAAAAAUAGAUACAGUAUCAACUUUCCUAGAGAUUAUAGUCUAGCAGAGGAAAAUUUAUAUUAAUCACACAUAGGCAAAUGUAUACUUAGAAAUUAAAUGCAACAAAAAAGAGCGUAUAAGUUUCUCCAAGGAAGUGACAGUUACGCUGAAGUCUGAAGGAAGAAUGGAAAAUUGAAUUGGAUUGGGGCAGGGGAUGUUCCAGAGAGACAUAAAGGUAUGUGAAAUUCUGUGUGCCAGGAGGAACAUAGCCUGCUAAAGGUGCUCAGAGUGGCUGAAGGGUGGAGUGAGCAAAAGUAGGGAGAAGGACAUAAUUGGAUUCCAGUUAAGAGGCUAUUGCACAGUGAGAAAAAUUUUUUAAAAAUUAAAAAUUUUUAAAAAUUAAAAAUUAAAAAAAAUUAAAUUUAAAAAAAAGGCUAUUGCAGAGUAUAAGGGAAGGAAUGAAGGCGACUUGGACUAGCAUAUGGUUGAAGAAAAAUUGAGGCAUUUCAUGGUACUUUGGAAAGUAAAAUUCACAUGACUUAGUGAUUGAUUGGAUGUAGUUAGUAAGGAAGGGGGAAAAAAGAUAUUCUGUUUCUCUGUUUAUAUAUGUGGCAUUAUUCUGCAUUCAUUGUUCUGACUUUGCAUUUUUUUUCUCUUAAUAGUAUGUUUUGGAAAUUCCUUCACUGCUCCCACCCCAAUUUCAAUAAUGUAUUUUUUUUUUUUUUGUCUUUUUGGCUUUUCUAGGGCCUCUUCCUGCGGCAUAUGGAGGUUCCCAGGCUAGGGGUCAAAUCAGAGUUGUAGCCGCUGGCCUACACCACAGCCACAGCAACACGGGAUCUGAGCCAAGUCUGCAACCUACACCACAGCUCACAGCAACGCCAGAUCCUUAACCCACUGAGCAAGGCCAGGGACCAAACCCUCCACCUCAUGGUUCCUAGUCGGAUUCGUUAACCACUGUGCCACGACAGGAACUCCUCAAUAAUGUAUUUUUAAUAAGCUUACUAUAUUUCAUGAUACAGAUGUGUCAUAAUUCUUUUCACAAGUACCUCAUUGAUUACAAUUAGAGAUUGCUUCUGUUUUUUGCUUUUGUUUUUGUUUUGGGGUAAGGUAUUUCAAACAAUAGUACAAUUUAAUAUAACAUACUUGUACUAUGUAUUUGUGUUUACAGAUUUAGGUGAAUAUAAUGUACCAAAUUACCACCAAUGUAAUUGCUGGAUUUAAAAAAAAAUGGUGCACUUCAGAGUUCCUACUAUAGUGCACUGGGUGACGGAUCCUGUGUUGCCACAGCUGUGGCAUAGAUAGAAACUGUGGCUUAGAUUCAGUCGCUAGCCUGGGAAGUUCCAUAUGCCAUGGAUGCAG
ensembl:lncRNA